CCUCCGCCAUGAGCUGCGGACAGAUCAGAUGCACGUGGCAGUCGAUCGCCCCCGCGGUGACGAUACGUCCGUUGCCGCCGAUGAUCUCCGUCGACGGCCCGACGACGAGCGAGGGAUGCACGCCCGACAUGAUGUCGGGAUUGCCGGCCUUGCCGAUGCCGACGAUGCGGCCGUCGCGGAUACCGAUGUCGGCCUUGAUGAUUCCCCAGUAGUCGAUGAUCACGACGCCGGUGAUCACGGUGUCGGGCGCCCCGUCGGCCCGGGUCGCGCGCCCUUGUCCCAUCGACUCGCGUAG
rnacentral:sRNA from 1 species